GGCCCCAUAGUCUAGCGGUUAGGACGCGGGGUUCUCAUCCCCGAAACCCGGGUUCGAGCCCCGGUGGGGUCACCA
rnacentral:tRNA from 1 species